UUGGAGGGCAAGUCUGGUGCCAGCAGCCGCGGUAAUUCCAGCUCCAAUAGCGUAUAUUCAAGUUGUUGCAGUUAAAAAGCUCGUAGUUGAAUUUCGGGAUCAGUACGCUGGUCGUGCCUCUGGUAUGUACUGGUGUCACUGAUUCCUCCUUCCUGAUGAACUGUAAUGCCAUUAAUUUGGUGUUGCAGGGAAUCUGGACUGUUACUUUGAAAAAAUUAGAGUGUUUAAAGCAGGCUAACGCCUGAAUACAUUAGCAUGGAAUAAUGAAAUAGGACGUUCGAUCCUAUUUUGUUGGUUUCUAGGAUUGACGUAAUGAUUAAUAGGGAUAGUUGGGGGCAUUAGUAUUCAAUUGUCAGAGGUGAAAUUCUUGGAUUUAUUGAAGACUAACUACUGCGAAAGCAUUUGCCAAGGAUGUUUUCAUUAAUCAAGACCGAAAGUUAGGGGAUCGAAGACGAUCAGAUACCGUCGUAGUCUUAACCAUAAACUAUGCCGACUAGGAAUCAGACGAUGUUAAUUUUUUAAUGACUCGUUUGGCACCUUACGGGAAACCAAAGUGUUUGGGUUC
rnacentral:rRNA from 1 species